GUGUCAUUGUGUGUCUGUGUUCAGGAGUUCAUCACCAAAUACAUACAAGAUUAUAACUGGAUUGGACUGAAUGACUCAGAAAAAGAAGGCACCUGGCUCUGGGUGGAUGGAACCCUCCUGCAGAAAAACUACUGGAGGAGUGGAGAACCACAUGAUCGUUACACACGAGGCAGUGUCAAAUACCCAGGUGCAGACUGUGCACUUACCCGGGUGAGAAUGUAUUGAUGGACGAAGACUGCCGUUUGUCCACCGACUUCAUCUGUGAGACUGAUGCUCUGCUCCUUUCAUUACCAAUGAUGUAAAAUUGAUGCCGAAUGGGCCUGGUCCCGUGUGUUCCUGGAUGGGAUGUGCCAGCGCGCGGGGCGUGUCCCAGCCGGGGACAAAGUGGGCCUGGCUUUCCAGAGAAGCGGCGGGAGCUUUGAUUUGUCUUUUGCGUUUGAGAUCAGUUUGAAAUGCAUAUGUUUUCACGUAA